CAAAUUGUCUGCCAAUCUGCAGGGAGACACAGUAUUUUCAACAGUUCGCAACCGAACUCAGGCAUGCUGACAUCAUAUGGACGCAACUAGAUGCAGCACGGAUGCGGCACCGGGAGUCUGGAGGUGGACGUUUGCACUGGGUGUUUGGGAUAUAAGGACUCAAGAACACUAAACCAAACCAUAUAGAGUGGAAUCAAGGAAGAAAGCGAUAGACAAGAAGAUACAGAAGAAGAAAACAUACAAACAUUUGACCUUUCUCUAAUUGAAAACAUCAAUUAUCUCCAGUGCUUACAAUCACUCCACGAUAUGAAGCUAUAUUGCGUUGUGAUCUAAUACACCAGAUAUAACCUGGUUGUAUAUACCUACCUCAACUGGUACAAUUUGAGGUGUAGACGGUUUAUCAAGUUAUUCCCACCUCAUUGUCUGAGCAUUCAAUUUCUGUACCCCUGAAGAAGUCCCGUUAAGGGACGAAACACGGUGGGUUAAUUUAUCUUUCUGCAUUUGUGUCACUCAGUGAAUCUAUACCAACAAAGAAACUGAAUGUAAAACCGGAUAAAUCCGAAGACACAGCUUUGUGAAACCUUAUCGAUGCU